CGACUAGUGCACGCAAGAGAAGGACCUGCAGCGAGCCAAAUGCAGUUUUAAUGAAGCAGUCAUCAUUAGAAGAUAGUCGCCAAAGCGACCCUGUGCAACAUUAUGAUAAUGCAGGUGUAAUGAAGAAGUCCUUAGUAGAAGAUAGAGCGCAAAAAAGGUUCCGGGGUGAGCCUAUGCAACGAUAUAAUGUAAGUCUGUGCUUAGUACUUGUGACUAUCUCAUAUCGACAAUGCUUAAUACAUGUUUGCAUAGU